rnacentral:lncRNA from 1 species
CUUCCCUUAGAAUGUCAAGUUCUGAAUCUUGUGGUGCAUUGCAGUGUGGUAGUCUUCUACUUAGGUCUGCAGUUCCUUAUAUAGAUAAGAGAGAAUAGAGUCGUUGAAGCUUUCACUAAAAGGUUGGUUAACUUUUGUACUUGAUUAGACACAUCAAGCAAACACAUUUCUGCAAGUGGAAUGAUCCGUUGAGGCUCCGGCC